CGGGGAGAGCCAAUCAGAAGCCGGAACGGAACGCUUAGGUGACAAUCCGUUCCUCCGACGGGGCGGUGCCAGGCAUGGGGGCGGGGAGAAGCGGGUAUAUGCAAAAGAAGUGACGUCCCUAGUGACUCCUGUCUCCGAUUGGCCGAGGGUUUUGCCUGGAGGGCGGGCAUUUAGAGGGUUGGUGACUUGGCUGAAGAAGACAAGCCGGAGGGGGCGGUGUGUGCCUUGGUUGCGCGCAUGCGCAGGGUCCACGUGCGUCUGCUCGCCAGGACUGUGGCCUGGGUAGAGGAGAAAGCCGUGACAACCACUGAGGAAAUGACUCAGCCAGUAAAUGGAGAGAUGCCUUUUCCAUACCAGUUCCCCCUCGUCUUCACUUAGAAGUCCUGCCCUCCUCAUGGCUGUUGAAGAACUGAGUUCUGAAUAUAUCGAAAGAUAUGUCAAGACCCUUGUCUCAGUUAAGGUUUCUACGGCUGUGACAAACACCAUGACCAAAAGGUGCCCACACUAG
ensembl:lincRNA